rnacentral:rRNA from 1 species
CCUACGGGGGGCAGCAGUGAGGAAUAUUGGUCAAUGGGCGCAAGCCUGAACCAGCCAAGUCGCGUGAGGGAUGACGGUCCUAUGGAUCGUAAACCUCUUUUGUCGGGGAGCAAGGCCUGCCACGCGUGGCGGGAAGGAGAGUACCCGAAGAAAAAGCACCGGCUAAUCCCGUGCCAGAAGCCGCGGUAAUACGGAGGAUGCGAGCGUUAUCCGGAUUUUUUGGGUUUAAAGGGUGCGUAGGCGGAAGGUUAAGUCAGCGGUCAAAUGUCGGUGCUCAACACCGGCCUGCCGUUGAAACUGGUCGUCUUGAGUGGGCGAGAAGUAUGCGGAAUGCGUGGUGUAGCGGUGAAAUGCAUAGAUAUCGCGCAGAACUCCGAUUGCGAAGGCAGCAUACCGGCGCUCAACUGACGCUGAGGCACGAAAGCGUGGGGAUCGAACAGGAUUAGAUACCCCUGUAGUC